rnacentral:lncRNA from 10 species
UCCUUCCUUCCUUCCUUCUCUCUUUCUUUCUUUCUUUUCUUUCCUUUCUUUUUCUUUCUCUUUCCUUCCUGCUUUUAUUUCUUCUCUCUGUCUCUCUCUGUCUCUGUCUCUGUCUCUCUCUCUCUCCUGUUGCCUAGGCUGGAGUUUAGCUCACUGCAACCUCUGCCUCCUGGGUUCAAGCAAUUCUCCUCCCUCAGCCUUCUGAGUAGCUGGGACUACAGGCUUUAGAACUGGCGGCUUUAUAAGAAGAGAAAGAGAGAUCUGAGCUAGCACACUCAACCCCCUUGCUCUGUGAUGCCCUGUGCCAUCUCGGGACUCUGCAGAGGGUCCCCACCAGCAAGAAGGCCUUCACCAGAGCGGCCCCUUAACCUUGGACUUCCCAGCCUCCAUAACGGUCUGACUGGAUCCAGAAGUUCCAGUGAAGCCGAUUUCUAUCUCUAGUCUUUGUGAUCCUUUCCUCUCCAGCAAGGCUUUUCCUUGCCAUGACAAGACACCUGGCAGCAUCUCCAGGCUUACUCAACCAGUACCCUUGAUGGGAAAAGGGCUUUUCUUUCUUAAUUUUCCAGCAAAAGCCUCAAGAUUGACUCUGGAGUAAAUUGCACAUGGCCUCAAAUUCUUUGCAGCUCCUUCCACUAUGAGGUGGCAUGUAUUACUCCAAUCCCUGCAUCUGGGCUGGAUUUGUGACUUGUUUUGAACAAUAGAAUGUGGUAAAAGUGACAGUGAAAAUAUAUGAGUUUCAAGCCUAAGACAACAUGCUUUUCAGCCUUUGCUCUGGAUUUCUUUGAAUGCUGCUGUCACAUAAACAAGACUGAAAUAGCCUACUAGAGGAUGGGAAAUUACAUGGAGCAGAGACAAGCAGUCCCAGGUGUGGAACCCCUAGACCAGCCAGCUUACCAACCACCAGACAUGAGAGUGAGACCAUCCUAGAUCACUCAGCUCCAGCCAAGCCACCAAGAGACCACACAGAUCAGCUGAAUUGGCCUAGGCCAGACGAACCACUCUGCCAACCCACAGAAUUACUAAAAAUAAUAAAUAUUUGUUAGUGAAGACUUCAAGUUUGGGGAUGUUUGUUAUGCAGCAGAAGCUAACUGAUACUCUCUUAUUGGGUCAGCUUGGAUCACUUUCCCACUCUGAAACACACAGUGAGCAGAGGGGUAGUGGACAGGCCUAGGCCAUGUGUUUUUUCCUGGAGUUGGCCAUUGGGGCCAGAUCAAUGAACUGAGAACUGGGGAGGUGUGGAGAAAAAUCAGGGUGCUGUCACCAGAAAAAGGGAGAAAGAAUGCCAAAGAGAAUGAAACAAGAGACAUCCACUGGAGUAUUCUAACCCCAUAAUAGUAAUUGAUGAAAGUUUGAAUUUAUGGUCUCAAUUCUAGUUCUCAUUUGUAAAAUAGACCCAAAGACAGUGCCACCCACUUUGAUAUUCAAUUCAAAGAAUCCUUAUGAUGUAGAAGUAAGGGCACUGGUGUGGGAGUCAGGUGGAACUGAGUUCAAGUUUUGGUUCCAUCUGCCCAUAUUUGGAUGCACACAGACACAUUUUAGAAUCCUUCUGAAUUUCAGUUUCCUCAUCUGUAAAAUGGGUGAUGAUGUUAAUACUGACCUUAAAAAUUGGCCAUGACACUUUGGGGGGCCAAGGCAGGAGGAUCGCAUGAGUCAAGGAGUUCAAGACCAGCCUGGGCAACAUGGUGAGACCCCUGUGUCUACAGAACGUUAAAAAAUUAGCUGGACAUGAUGGCAUGCACCUGCAGUCCCAACUAGUUGGGAACCUGAGGUGGAAGUAUCACUUGAGCCCAGGAGGUCGAAGCUGCAGUUAGCUGUGUUUGUGCCACUGCACUCCAGCCUGGGUGACAGAGCAAGACUCUGUCUCAAAACAAAAAAAACAAAACAACAACAACAAAAAAAAACAAAACAACAACAACAAAAAAAACUGGCUAUGAGUUUUAGUAAUAAUGCAUAUGCAAAGCACAGCACUUGACACAUAGCAAGGGCUUGAGAAUGUGGACAACUGUUAAGCAUGAGUUGAAUCAUGAACUGUGGAUGCACCCAUGUGCCAAGAAAUCAGGUCUCAGUAAGUAGGUGACAGAAUUUGCCACUGUGCCUAUCUAGAGAGCAGGAAAUAUGAUGGUUCAGGGCUUCUCUGCUGUGUUUCCAUCCACUGCUGCAGAGUCUUUUCUUCCUUCUCCACCAGAAAUAUGCAAACGUCAAGUGAUCCUUUCUUUAGGCAUCAAAACACACAGGAUCCUCUUGGCUUUGGGAAUAUAAAAGAGUCAUUCUUUUUCUCCUUAGGAUGAAACUGAUGGAGGAUUACUUGCAAUAAAGGGAAUCCUGGACGGGACAUGGUUCUGUUCCUGCUGGUUGGGAGGUCGUGACAACUAUGUCUAUGGACACAUAGUCACAGGUUGUGUGUGGCUGGGCUAUAGUUUAGGGACAUCUGUCUAACCAUCCAUGUAUUUAGUAAUGACUUAGUGACUUCUGGUGUGUUGAUGCAGGUUUUUCUUUCCCUCAAUGUUUUAGAUUUCAUGAAGCAUUAAAAUUAAUUCAACAAUUAUUUAUAUAUUGAGUGACUAUCUAUGCCAGGCACUGGAUAGGUAACAAGGAACAAAGCAGACAAAAGCCCUGUCCACAUUUUUGAGUGGCAGAAGGUAAAGUAUUUGAGGGAUUAACCUAGAAUUGCCAACUUUUCAUUUUACUAAGUUAGGACUUAAGGAGAGAAGAGAAGCUGCUUUGACUGUCAUUAGUAUCAGUUUUCCCCUAGAAGAAAAUGGUUAUUUUCAUGUCCAACAGAGUGGAAGUAUAUAUUCUUAUUUUUUUUAGUGGCUUAAAACAAUAAACAUUUAUUAUCUCACGCAGUUUUUGUGGGUCAGAAGCCUAGAAGCAGCUUCACUGAGUGGCUCUAGCUCAAGAUCUCUCAUGAAGUUGCAGUCAAGAUCUCAGCUGAGGCUGCAUUAUCUGAAGGCUUGACUGAGGCUGGCAGAAGUGAUUCCAGUAUGGCUCAGCACACACCGAGCACGUUAGUGCUGAUUGUUGGCAGGCAGCUUCAGUUUUUCAGCAUGUGGGCCUCCUCACAGGGGUCCUUGAGUGCCCUCACAACAGGACAGCUGUCUUCU